AAAAAGAAAUCUAUUCUAGUUCUGGGCAACUAUCCUGCAAAUCCUGCCAGGCGAUAGGGGUAAAUGAGGUGCCCAUAACCUGGAGGUUUCUUUGGGAAAAUAAGGCCAGGGAAGCUAACCAAAGCCAAGCUCCUUGCACCCAGAUUUUAGCAGACAUAACUCUAGCCACAAGUUACCUGGGUGUGUUGGCAGCCUCAGGAUUUUUGUGCUGUCCUUACCCCCAUGUUUUUUUUUUUUUCAUGUCUUCUAAUAACCUGGUUUGUCUCUUCCCACCUAGAGGUCAUCAAACACCAACCGGAAUCUCAGACGAUUGCCCCUUUUACCAGGGACCCUUAGAUAGCCCUCUGAGCGAGCUCUGACUGCCGUUUUCCAAGAACAGCGCCCCCUGUCAGCAGGAAGCAGUUAAGAGUGAUCAUGGUCUUUAUCCUAACGGCAAUUAGAUGUACCUCUUGAGAGAGGAGAAUAGCAGGAGGCAGUCACAUGCCUAGGCAGAUAGGGGUGGAUUCCUGGUGAAACCCGACUCUCAAACCAAAGACAGUUUAAAGCCUGAAAGCAAAACUACAAGUCCCAGGGAAAAUGUGAUUUGAAAGUUGGACACUAUCCAAAGAUGAUGGCAGGAUGAGAAAGGAUAUUAUUCUCGCAAGUACUGCAGUUCCAAAGAGGAGAUCUGAACUGACGUGCAUCCUCUCACUCCUGCGUCUGAAACGGCAGCCCCGCGGGGCUGAGCCCGAACACUACAGGUCCUUUCAUCCUGGAUCGCGUAGAGAGAUCGGCUCCCUGGCGCGCCAAGGGCAAGGAAGGUCUCGGGCCCGCGGCGCUCGCCUGGGUCCGGCAGAGGGCGCCCGCGCCCCACGCUGCGAGCCUUGCAAGGCUCUGCUGCAAGGUCGGCUGGACAACGCCCGGCAGGAGAGCCGGGGGAGUGCUGCGCGUUAUGUAUGAUACAUAAGAUAACCUGACCACAAUCAUCCCGCCCCGCGAUCUCCGCUGUUGAACGGGAACUGAUGUCACGUGUGUGCAUGGCCAGAGGCGGAGGGCUCGGCUGGCUGCUCCAGUCUGCGCUGUCCACGCGUCUCGGGUGUCCUAUCUCGGUGGAUACAUUUUUCUUUUUCAGAAAAGGGAAACAGGAAAACAGGGGGACGAUUAGUCUCUAUCUAGUGGAGCCACGUGGAAAAACCAGCUUCAGGUAUCAAACAACAUCCAAGGGGCUGCACUGAUUUAUUUAUUUAUUUUUUAAGAGACAGGGUCUGCUCUGUCGCCCAGGCUAACCAUAUCUCACUGCAGCCUCGAACUCCUAGAUUCAAGCGAUUC